rnacentral:sRNA from 1 species
GUUUCAUUAUGUGUAGCUUGUUUCAUCGAACGAAUUAAUUCAUGCUGUCCUCAGCAGGAAAGGAAUCAUUGCGCACAAUUUCUCAAGGACAGAUAAGUGAUGAUGGUCAGGAUGACACCAAUGCAUAACAGGAUCGUAUGCAAUAUAAAUAAAAUGAUGGGUAGGGAUAGCCAAACUAAGGACAAGUUUGUCAAGGAGUGAGCAGGGAGCAUCUUAUUAUUAGCGGGACUGCUAUAAAAUCAACUUAAGGGGAGCGCUUGUUCGCUCCCUUCUCUUAUUUGG